rnacentral:rRNA from 1 species
AUUGAACGCUGGCGGUAGGCCUAACACAUGCAAGUCGAACGGCAGCACAGUAAGAGCUUGCUCUUACGGGUGGCGAGUGGCGGACGGGUGAGGAAUACAUCGGAAUCUACUUUUUCGUGGGGGAUAACGUAGGGAAACUUACGCUAAUACCGCAUACGACCUACGGGUGAAAGCAGGGGAUCUUCGGACCUUGCGCGAUUGAAUGAGCCGAUGUCGGAUUAGCUAGUUGGCGGGGUAAAGGCCCACCAAGGCGACGAUCCGUAGCUGGUCUGAGAGGAUGAUCAGCCACACUGGAACUGAGACACGGUCCAGACUCCUACGGGAGGCAGCAGUGGGGAAUAUUGGACAAUGGGCGAAAGCCUGAUCCAGCCAUACCGCGUGGGUGAAGAAGGCCUUCGGGUUGUAAAGCCCUUUUGUUGGGGAAGAAAAGCAGCAGGUUAAUACCCCGCUGUUCUGACGGUACCCAAAGAAUAAGCACCGGCUAACUUCGUG